rnacentral:lncRNA from 1 species
AUGGAGCGGCAUCUAUUUUCUCCACCCUCGAGGAGUGGCGGGAUGCCAAUACACAAGGGUGCGACGCGACUGCUCACAUGGGGUUUGGUCAUGCGACUACCUACAUACUGUGGAAUGUUUGGAAGGAGCGGAACAGGCAAAUCUUUAAUGAUGUCUCAUGUUCGAUGCUAGAUGUUGCCUAUGUUGUCGAAGACUUAAAACAAGUGCGUUUGGCAUUUGCGCUCACUUGGUAGUUGCCUUUUGGGUUUGUAAUGUAAAUCCUGGGCUAGCUUGUAGCAUGUAAGAAACUCUUGUACAUUGUUUUUCCCCCUUUCCCCUUCUAUAUGAAAUGGGCAGAGCACGUGCCUUCCACGUCAAAAAAUAGUUCUACUAGGAAUCUACGUAUAACCAUGUCCCUUCAAUUUUCAAUAUAUAUAAGGAGGGGCAAGGCACCACAAGAGGAAAAACAGGUCUCUUAGACAUGAAACAAAUGAGCACCUCACACGGGAAUGCUUUUUCUCUUGUGGGGUUUGGGGCAUUGCCACCACUUGGUUAUCCAUCCUACAUGGAGCGGCAUCUAUUUUUUCCACCCUCGAGGAGUGGUGGGAUGUCAAUACACAGGGGUGCGACGCGGCUGCUCACAUGGGGUUCGGUCAUGCGACUACCUACGUACUCUGGAAUGUUUGGAAGGAGCGGAACAGGCAAAUCUUUAAUGAUGUCUCACGUUUGGUGCUAGAUGUUGCCUAUGUUGUCAUGGAAGACUUAAAACAAGUGUGUUUGGCAUUUGCGCUCACUUGGUAGUUGCCUUUUGGGUUUGCCAUUUGCGCUCACUUGGUAGUUGCCUUUUGGGUUUGUAAUGUAAAUCUUAGCUUGUAGCACGUAAGAAACUCUUGUACAUUGUUUUCCCCCUUUUUUCCUUCUAUAUGAAAUGGGCAAAGCACGUGCCUUUCACGUGAAAAAAUAGUUCUACUAGGAAUCUCUUAGACAAGAAAAACAUGUCUCUUAGACAAGAGAAAAAACAAGAAAAACAUAUAAUCCUGUCCCUUCAAUUUUCACUAUAUAUAAGGAGGGGCAAGGCACCACAACAGGGAAAACAUGUCUCUUAGACAAGAUCAAAGUAGAAGUUCUUGAGACUAGAGGUAGCAAAAUAGUGCCCUUGUAAUUAAU